rnacentral:rRNA from 1 species
GGGUGCGUAAUACGUGAGAAUCUGCCCUUAGGAGGAGUAUAACUGUUGGAAACGACUGCUAACACUCCAUAUGUCGAGAGAUGAAAUAAUUUAUUGCCUAAGGAUGAGCUCGCGCCUGAUUAGCUAGUUGGUGAGGUAAUGGCUCACCAAGGCCACGAUCAGUAGCUGGUUUGAGAGAACGAUCAGCCACACUGGGACUGAGACACGGCCCAGACUCCUCCGGGAGGCAGCAGUGAGGAAUUUUCCGCAAUGGGCGAAAGCCUGACGGAGCAAUACCGCGUGAGGGAUGAAGGAUUUUGGUCUGUAAACCUCUUUUCUCAAGAAAGAAGUUCUGACGGUACUUGAGGAAUAAGCAUCGGCUAACUCCGUGCCAGCAGCCGCGGUAAUACGGGGGAUGCAAGCGUUAUCCGGAAUCAUUGGGCGUAAAGCGCCUGUAGGUUGUUUAAUAAGUCUGUUGUUAAA